UUUAAGAAAAGAGCUUUAAUUUAAUUCAAAAAUUCAUAUUUCUUUAAUUUUAAAAAGUUAUGUUCUUUACUCUUUAACUUUAAAAAAUGAUUUAGUUUAUUAUUUAAAAAAUAAAAAAUUUCACAUUUAAAACCCCUCAUCCUCUACAAAACCUAAACUAAAAAUAGCGUACAACCCCUCAACCAUAUGCACGAAAUCACGAUUUUUCCAACCAAAUAGCACGAUUGAAUCACACGAAACCAUAUGGAACUGCUUCAAACGGACAUUUCUCCAACCGAUUCAAAUCUUCAUGUUGCUACCAAAAAUUCAAGAAACAUACGGCUUGCAAAAUAUGGCUACUCAAAGUGAUUUAUUUAAUGAUAUAAUAAUAUCGCAAAUGCAAUGAAAGCUGAAAGUUGGAUUGUUCGUCUGUGGAAAAUACCAGAUCGUUACAAUUGAGAUGCUACUUUCUCGAUUGAAUCAGUUCUGCAAGAUGAAAAGGAUCCCGACUUCAAUACUAUUGAAGACUUCAAUACUAUUGAAGGCGUAGAUGAAGCGAUGGAAUGCGAGGUAAAUACAUCGCUUACUUUUAAUUUGUCCUUAUGGUGACACUUAUUUUACUUAUACAUGGAUAGCUAUAGUUGAUAAUAAGAUGCUAAUCUUGGAGCACUCAUGUUCUUAUCCCUGGUUGGAGCCUCUAGAAUGAAUUAAGUUAUAUCUCCAAAAGUUACUGGGUUCCCGAGAACCCAUAUACCAUACUCUAGAUUCGCCUCUGCAUAUAAUAUGAAAAUAUAACAUGAUUCAAAAUGAAUAGGAGUAAUUUAUAACUAAAUGAAUCUAAAAAAAUCUUUAUUUACUAAUCUUUUAAAUUCAUUUGUUAUUUAUCCAUAAUCAUCAUUUCAA